CCGUAACCUUCAUUCUAACAUUUAACCCUAAUUAUCAUUCUCUCUCUCUCUCUCUCUCUCUCUCAAUCUUCACUGGCAAUCUAAACCCAAACCCUAGAUCAAAAUUCGUGUGCCUCUUUAUCUCUCCCUAAUCCUCUUCAUCUCCUCCACCGUCCGUGUGUGUUUCACUCAGAUUUCUUCAUCGCCAACACGAUUCUGUUUCCAGUUUAUUUACCAUGGAUCGAUCGCUAUGGUUUCCUCCUCAUCAAAUCCUUAAUCAGCAGUCGGUUAGGGUUAGAAGGGGGUGUUGAUGGUCGAUUAUGGGUGCAAGGGGGAGUGGUUCAACGCUGUUGGUUGUGGUGGUUUCGCAGCGGUGAAGAUGAGUGGAGGCGGUGGUUGGCUGCACGGAUCUGGUAGUAGAUGGGUUAUAGGUGGGUGUGGUAUUCGUGCCAUUAGCAAAAGAGAUUUAAAAACAAAACUAAUGAUGCAACAAUAUCUUUACGAGAUUUGAUUAAAAUGUGAUUUACCAGGUGGAAUUCCCCUGUCGAAGUGAGAGCCCGUGUUAAUACGUUUUAACAAUCUUGGUGUAGAAGAAAAUUGUCACUACUUGAAGGAAGUUGAAAAUGCUUAGAUUAGGAGGAAUGUAAUAGAUUGCUUUGAAAAGGCAAGCUUACCUACUUUGAGUGAUGAUGAGAGGAAAAGAAUUCUUUAAUUUGUUGUUAUUGGAGGUGGCCCAACUGGAGUGGAGUUUGCAGCUGAGCUUCAUGAUUUUGUGUCCAAUGAAUUGGUGAAGUUGUACCCAUCUGUUAAAGAGUUAGUCUCCAAAACACUUCUUGAGGCAACCGACCAUAUCUGGAGCAUAAGAAAAGUUUCACAGAGAUCGUAAUAUCAAUAUCUGAAGACAAGGGUGAUUGUUGUGAAACUUUCGUAUAAAGAAAUUUCACCCAUGACCACAUACCGAUUCGACUCUUUGGAGUUUCAACUGGAUCCAUUGCUUAGAGCAACAUGUCAUGCUGAUGGUGAUGUUAAUUAUGAAACUGGCUACUUUUCAUACCACCCAUAAAACAUUAACCAAGUAUAUUGCAGUUGAUUUUUGAGCUUGGUCCUUACAUUGAUGAGCUAUCAAAAAACUGGUGGCGCUAUAAAAGAGUUUGGUAACCCCAAGUAACUAAUUUUCUAUAUUUUUCCCUAAUAUUCUAUAGGUUAUACAUUUCAUUGCAGUUGAUUUUUGAGCUUGGUCCUUACAUUGAUGAGCUAUCAAAAAACUGGUGGCGCUAUAAAAGAGUUCGGUAACCCCAAGUUGUAAAAAUAGUAUACUGUGGUAGAACUCAAAGCAGUCUUGAAGUUGUGAUAGUGGGAAUGUAAUAAGUGGUGUGUGUGUGUGUAUGAUGGAGACUUCAAAACGGGCCCACCGAAACUUUAAAAAAAGUUUGCGCUGCAUGGAGCCACAGUGUCUAUCCAUCCACUUGUAAUUGCUGGCUGGUGUGGUUUCACUACUUCAACUUUCAAUAUGCUCCCAAUCGGGUGCCUUGACGGUGGAAGAGUGGUUCAGGUUCGUAUGAGAACCAAAAACACAUUUGGGCUCUAAGAAAAAGAAUACUUGGCUUCUUUUUUUUACCAAAGCAGGGUGCUAGGCAACCAAGUGAUGAAUUUGAAAAUUUUAUAUUGAUAACAAGAUGAGAUCUUUGGCAGAGAAAAAUGUAAGAAGUCGGAAGUACUGCAUAUGGCGAAAAGUUAAAAGACUAGAAGGCAGUCUUAUUUGAAACCUCUUAAAUUGUUUUGUUUCAGCAAAAAGGAUUAUCAUUGUGAUAAUAUACUCAUAUAUGAAACAAUUAAUAACUUAGAAAAUUCAAUAAAAGAGAAAGAAAAGGUUUCCAAGCA